rnacentral:rRNA from 1 species
GGAUGGACAUACCUCUGGUGUACCAGUUGUUCUGCCAAGAGCACCGCUGGGUAGCUACGUAUGGAUUAGAUAAUCGCUGAAAGCAUCUAAGUGAGAAACUAACCUCGAGAUGAGAUUUCCCAUUCGUCAGAAGUAAGACCCCUGAGAGACGAUCAGGUAGAUAGGCUAGAAGUGGAAGUGUAGUGAUGCAUGGAGCGGACUAGUACUAAUAGGUCGAGGACUUAACCAAG